GGACUUCUACAGGAGUCCCUGUUGCUUUGGGAAGCACAAUGACCAUCUCAGAGCUCUGUUUGGAGGAGAGGGUGUAGAAAGUCUGCUGCCACUGCACUCUCUGGAGCCUUCCCUCAGCUGGAGAAGCACAGAGGCCAUAAACCUGUGGUGGUCGGGUCCAGCAGCUGGGAAGCAGCAGGUAAAAAUGGUGCAGAAAUACCAGUCCCCAGUUCGAGUCUACAAAUACCCAUUUGAACUCGUCAUGGCAGCCUACGAGAAGCGCUUUCCUACCUGCCCAGAGAUCCCAGUGUUCCUGGGCAGUGAGAUCCUGCACGAGUCCAGGAGCGAGGACGGCCAUCCACGUCAUUGAGCGGAGCUGCAAGCUGAACGUGGAUGCUCCCAGGCUGCUGAAGAAGGCAG